UUUCCGUAGGUGAACCUGCGGAAGGAUCAUUACCGAGUGAGGGCCCUCUGGGUCCAACCUCCCACCCGUGUUUAUCGUACCUUGUUGCUUCGGUGGGCCCGCCUCACGGCCGCCGGGGGGCACCCGCCCCCGGGCCCGCGCCUGCCGAAGACACCAUUGAACGCUGUCUGAAGAUUGCAGUCUGAGCAUCUUAGCUAAAUCAGUUAAAACUUUCAACAACGGAUCUCUUGGUUCCG
rnacentral:misc_RNA from 1 species